UACAGAGGGUGCAAGCGUUAAUCGGAAUUACUGGGCGUAAAGCGUGUGUAGGCGGCCACGUAAGUCGGAUGUGAAAAGCCCCCGGGCUCAACCCGGGAAGUGCACUCGAUACUGCGUGGCUUGAGUACUGGAGAGGUUGGUGGAAUUCUCGGUGUAGAGGUGAAAAUUCGUAGAUAUCGAGAGGAACACCGGUGGCGAAGGCGGCCAACUGGACAGAUACUGACGCUGAGACACGAAAGCGUGGGGGAGCAAACAGG
rnacentral:rRNA from 1 species